UGGGGAAUAUUGCACAAUGGAGGGAACUCUGAUGCAGCGACGCCGCGUGAACGAAGAAGGCUUUCGAGUCGUAAAGUUCUUUUAUAUGGGAAGAUAAUGACGGUACCAUAAGAAGAAGCCCCGGCUAACUACGUGCCAGCAGCCGCGGUAAUACGUAGGGGGCUAGCGUUGUCCGGAAUCACUGGGCGUAAAGGGUUCGCAGGCGGAAAUGCAAGUCAGGUGUAAAAGGCAGUAGCUUAACUACUGUAAGCAUUUGAAACUGCAUAUCUUGAGAAGAGUAGGGGUAAGUGGAAUUUUUAGUGUAGCGGUGAAAUGCGUAGAUAUUAAAAAGAAUACCGGUGGCGAAGGCGACUUACUGGGCUCAUACUGACGCUGAGGAACGAAAGCGUGGGUAGCAAACAGG
rnacentral:rRNA from 1 species